rnacentral:rRNA from 1 species
AUUGAACGCUGGCGGCAUGCCUUACACAUGCAAGUCGAACGGUAACGCGGGGCAACCUGGCGACGAGUGGCGAACGGGUGAGUAAUGUAUCGGAACGUGCCCAGUUGUGGGGGAUAACUGCUCGAAAGAGCAGCUAAUACCGCAUACGACCUGAGGGUGAAAGCGGGGGAUCGCAAGACCUCGCGCAAUUGGAGCGGCCGAUAUCAGAUUAGGUAGUUGGUGGGGUAAAGGCUCACCAAGCCGACGAUCUGUAGCUGGUCUGAGAGGACGACCAGCCACACUGGGACUGAGACACGGCCCAGACUCCUACGGGAGGCAGCAGUGGGGAAUUUUGGACAAUGGGCGCAAGCCUGAUCCAGCCAUGCCGCGUGCGGGAAGAAGGCCUUCGGGUUGUAAACCGCUUUUGUCAGGGAAGAAAAGGCUCCUGUUAAUACCGGGGGCUCAUGACGGUACCUGAAGAAUAAGCACCGGCUAACUACGUGCCAGCAGCCGCCGCCG